rnacentral:rRNA from 1 species
GGCCUAACACAUGCAAGUCGAACGCGAAAGGGGCUUCGGCCCUGAGUAGAGUGGCGAACGGGUGAGUAACACGUGGGUGAUCUACCUCUGAGUGGGGGAUAACCUUCCGAAAGGAGGGCUAAUACCGCAUGACGUUCCGGGUUUGAAGACCGGGAAACCAAAGUCGGGGACCGCAAGGCCUGAUGCUUGGAGAGGAGCCCGCGCCUGAUUAGCUAGUUGGUGGGGUAACGGCUCACCAAGGCGACGAUCAGUAGCCGGCCUGAGAGGGCGGACGGCCACACUGGGACUGAGACACGGCCCAGACUCCUACGGGAGGCAGCAGUGGGGAAUUGUUCGCAAUGGGCGCAAGCCUGACGACGCAACGCCGCGUGGAGGAUGAAGAUUUUCGGAUCGUAAACUCCUGUCGAAUGGGACGAAUAGAUUGCGGGUUAACAGCCUGUAGUCCUGACGGUACCGUUAAAGGAAACCCCGGCUAACUCCGUGCCAGCAGCCGCGGUAAUACGGGGGGGGUAAGCGUUGUUCGGAAUUACUGGGCGUAAAGGGCUCGUAGGCGGCCAACUAAGUCAUACGUGAAAUCCCUCAGCUUAACUGGGGAACUGCGUGUGAUACUGGAUGGCUUGGAUUUGGGAGAGGGAUGCGGAAUUCCAGGUGUAGCGGUGAAAUGCGUAGAUAUCUGGAGGAACACCGGUGGCGAAGGCGGCAUCCUGGACCAAUAUUGACGCUGAAGAGCGAAAGCCAGGGGAGCAAACGGGAUUA